UACGGAGGGUGCAAGCGUUAUCCGGAUUCACUGGGUUUAAAGGGUGCGUAGGUGGGCAGUUAAGUCAGUGGUGAAAUCUCCGGGCUCAACCCGGAAACUGCCAUUGAUACUGUAGGGCUUGAGUAUAGAUGCCGUUGGCGGAAUAUGACAUGUAGUGGUGAAAUACAUAGAGAUGUCAUAGAACACCGAUUGCGAAGGCAGCUAACGAAACUAUAACUGACACUGAGGCUCGAAAGUGUGGGGAUCAAACAGG
rnacentral:rRNA from 1 species